AAAGGAACCGCUGCAAUUGUGCAAAGUUAAUGGUGGAUGUUAUACUGCGUUUUGUAACGUCGAAGGUUGCAGUAUGCGUCAUUAGAUUUUUUUAUUUGCGUCAUAGAAAUUUAUCAACGCCAAUUAGGGGUGCUAUACGCUCAAGUUCAUGAUAAAUAAGGUGCAGUACCUACGGCUGAAUCGCACCUCGUCAUUGAUAAGAAAGCGAUGCAGUUUGGAAAAACCUGUCAAUUUUGCUAAUGUGUGAGCAAAAAGUCAUGUCAUACAUUUUCUUCGUCAAAUAAGCGAACGUGCAAAUUCGUAUUGAGAACUAUAGCUAAAAAUUAUAACAAUAAUACCAGUGAACUUUUCCGGCGAAUAAAUCAAAGUUAGAGUGAUGUUACGAUGAAUAAAAAUUCAAAUCCCAAAGCGAACAUUAAGUGUGAACUUAUUUACCCUUUUAGUCACUGAUAUUUCGAGAGUUGAAUGCAGACAAUAUAAAUAGAAAGUUCGCUGCUCGAUCAUUUCAAUGAAACGGAUAAUAUCCGGAAAACUUCAUCAAUAAUCCUCCAGGAGAUCCAAUUUUCGUUUGCGUUGAGGCAUCAUCUUUUAGAGAAGGACCGUACCAAUUUGCACCCUGAGAGAAACAACGGAUGGCUACAAUUGAGUGCAUGUUUGCUGAGUAAGUUCCAAUCCAGAAGGAAGUUUCUACUGAUAUUAGUCAAGAGUUGCCAUUAGAAAUGUUACAAUUGUCUGAGGGGGCAAAUUUAUAAGUAACUGAAAUUCGAGGAGUUAGUCGCAAAGAAAUGAAAAGGCCGGAGUAUCUUAUCUAUCGACAUCACUAAAAUUAAGCGAAAAAAUGGUAUCAAAUCGAACAGAAAAACCCUUCGUUUCUAAUGCUGGCUUGUUGAUAUAGAACAUCAACUCCGUUUUUUUAUAAAGCAAUGUCUAUAAGGUGUGCCUCUAGAAUCGGGCAAAAAAGUUGUCGUAGCUCCAGCGGAUGAAGACAUUUACUCUUCGAUUUCUAUCUGCACUGACCACCGAAAAAACCGAUUCGUAAAAAGCAAAGACUCUGAAAUUGAGCGAAGAAACUGUCGUAGAUCGAUUUGACUUUCUCUGAUAGAUUUCGGCGUGUACAAACAAAAAAAAUCACCCCCAGGGCAUGAGCAUCACAAAAACCUGAUUUGUAACAAACACCUACUCUCAUGAUUAGUAUUUUCAAUUGAUCAAGAUGGGUAAUAAAGAAUCUUGAUAUUGGUCAUAUAGAAUACCUACCUACAAACAUAAAACCAGUCCAUCAGCCAAGGAAGGAAGUAAAGCCACGUGUAUCUAUUAAUUAAUAUUCAAUAGUGUAACCCACUUGAAUCUAAGUAAGUCAGCUGACAUACAAUACAAACGUACCAGACACCUUCACAGACAAGUUAAUUAUUCCAUUUCCUUGUGAAUGGGAAAAUAAACAAAAACUAUUGUGUGAGCUUGCAUACGUUAUAAGGAUACAUAUUCCAGAGGACAUUGUACUUUAUUAUAUACAAACCGUUUGGAUGUAACAGGGAUUUUUUUUAUUGUAAAACGUACGUUAUGGCUUUUAUAUGUUUGCGUUGGUGUACCUACUUACAUAAGCAACAGUUAGAGAUUGAUUGAAUAAUUAAUUCACUUAUUCACGCACACAAUAUCUUUUUGAGGCUUACUUCAAUUCGCGGGAUUUCGCUUUUAGUUACAGUCAGGUGAGGAAUCAAGAAAUAAUUUUAGGAUGAGCUGAUUUGGAACUGCUUCUGGUAAAGGCAAGCAUAUCGCAUAUUGUAAAAAUCAGAUUAGCGCAUGCGCAAACUGCGAAAUGUCAACUUUCUUAUUUAUGGAGAUUUUACUCCCUGAAAAUCUCCGCCAUCAAUAAACCAAUCGUUGUUUUUCUGUAGCCCCCUAUACAACCGAAAAACUCUCGAUACGAUAUUCACAAUACCUCUUCUGGGCCCAUAACCAAAUGCAAUAGCCGAUGGAUCUAUCUAAUUCUUAUUGAAGU